GACGAACGCUGGCGGCGUGCUUAACACAUGCAAGUCGAGCGCCCCGCAAGGGGAGCGGCAGACGGGUGAGUAACGCGUGGGAACGUACCCUUUGCUACGGAAUAGCUCCGGGAAACUGGAAUUAAUACCGUAUGUGCCCUACGGGGGAAAGAUUUAUCGGCAAAGGAUCGGCCCGCGUUGGAUUAGCUAGUUGGUGGGGUAAUGGCCUACCAAGGCGACGAUCCAUAGCUGGUCUGAGAGGAUGAUCAGCCACAUUGGGACUGAGACACGGCCCAAACUCCUACGGGAGGCAGCAGUGGGGAAUAUUGGACAAUGGGCGCAAGCCUGAUCCAGCCAUGCCGCGUGAGUGAUGAAGGCCUUAGGGUUGUAAAGCUCUUUCACCGGAGAAGAUAAUGACGGUAUCCGGAGAAGAAGCCCCGGCUAACUUCGUGCCAGCCGCCGCUGUAAAAC
rnacentral:rRNA from 1 species